GCACGGUCACGGUCUGUCGCUGGCAUUUUUUUAUGUCAGAGGAAAGUCCGGGCAGCGCAGGGCACUCCACUUCCUAACUGGAAGGCAUAGACAAGGUGCGUGCGCCAGAAGAGAAUAACCGCCAAGCGAAAGCGUGGUAAGGGUGAGAAGGUGGUGUAAGAGACCACCAGGCGGGUGGGUGACUGCCCGUGCUGUGGCAACUGGAGGCUGCAAGUUCAUGUAAACCGUCGGCAUUUAGGGUAGCCCGCCCGAUACCUCAGGGUUCCGAUGGAGGGUAGAAUGCUCCACCAUUGGUGGCAUCUGACGGGUGACCGUCAGGGAAGAUAAAUGACAGACACCGUGCAUGCAGAGCAUGGCGGCACAGAACCCGGCUUACAGGGGCCCUGCUAUC
rnacentral:RNase_P_RNA from 1 species